rnacentral:tRNA from 1 species
GGGCGAGUGGCGGAAUUGGUAGACGCACAGGUCUCAAAAACCUGCGGCCUCACGGUCAUGAGGGUUCGAUUCCCUCCUCGCCCACGA